UUGGGUUAAAUCUAUGUGGGUCAUACAUUUUGAAAAGGGAACCCACGUAAAGUGAUGGGACAUGCAUUGGUUUCAUCCAA
rnacentral:pre_miRNA from 1 species